rnacentral:rRNA from 1 species
CCUACGGGUGGCUGCAGUGGGGAAUAUUGCACAAUGGGCGCAAGCCUGAUGCAGCCAUGCCGCGUGUGUGAAGAAGGCCUUCGAGUUGUAAAGCACUUUCAGCGGGGAGGAAGGCGUUAAGGUUAAUAACCUUGGCGAUUGACGUUACCCGCAGAAGAAGCACCGGCUAACUCCGUGCCAGCAGCCGCGGUAAUACGGAGGGUGCAAGCGUUAAUCGGAAUUACUGGGCGCAAAGCGCACGCAGGCGGUCUGUCAAGUCGGAUGUGAAAUCCCCGGGCUCAACCUGGGAACUGCAUUCGAAACUGGCAGGCUAGAGUCUUGUAGAGGGGGGUAGAAUUCCAGGUGUAGCGGUGAAAUGCGUAGAGAUCUGGAGGAAUACCGGUGGCGAAGGCGGCCCCCUGGACAAAGACUGACGCUCAGGUGCGAAAGCGUGGGGAGCAAACAGGAUUAGAUACCCUAGUAGUC